GCUGGGUGUGGUGGCGGGCACCUGUAAUCCCAGCUACUCAGGAGGCUGAGGCAGGAGAAUUGCUUGAACCUGGGAGGCAGAGAUUGCAGUGAGCCAAGAUCGUGCCACUGCACUCCAGCCUGGGUGACAGAGCGAGACUCUGUCUCAA
rnacentral:SRP_RNA from 1 species